CCUACGGGAGGCAGCAGUGGGGAAUAUUGGACAAUGGGGGCAACCCUGAUCCAGCCAUGCCGCGUGUGUGAAGAAGGCCCGCGGGUUGUAAAGCACUUUCAGUGAGGAAGAACGCCUGGUGGUUAAUACCCAUCAGGAAAGACAUCACUCACAGAAGAAGCACCGGCUAACUCCGUGCCAGCAGCCGCGGUAAUACGGAGGGUGCGAGCGUUAAUCGGAAUUACUGGGCGUAAAGCGCGCGUAGGUGGCUUGAUAAGCCGGUUGUGAAAGCCCCGGGCUCAACCUGGGAACGGCAUCCGGAACUGUCAAGCUAGAGUGCAGGAGAGGAAGGUGGAAUUCCCGGUGUAGCGGUGAAAUGCGUAGAGAUCGGGAGGAAUACCAGUGGCGAAGGCGGCCUUCUGGACUGACACUGACACUGAGGUGCGAAAGCGUGGGUAGCGAACAGGAUUAGAUACCCUUGUAGUC
rnacentral:rRNA from 1 species